GUGAGGAGUCGGGCUCCGGGUUAAACGUCUUUGUGCGACUUUUUGGCCGCCACAGGCCAUUACAAACGCUUUCCCUGGUGGCCAUGCGGGGAGGGGUGGGGAAGCUCCCUUCCCCCAGCAGCCCGGCCCGGCGGCGGGCACUGCGGGCUCUGAGGGAGCUGCAGGCGAGGACUCUGCCCCUGGCCGGCCUUCUCCUCGCCCAUUUACAUUCCUAGCCGGGUGCCUCCAUUCCUAGGUCGCUAUCUGCGACCUCAGGCAGGGCUCUUCUCCAGGCGCCUCUGUGAGGCCUCUUUAGGUGGGGAUGAGGGGGGACCACCAAGAUACUGCCCCCCUGACUCAGGGCCCAGUGCUCCUCCACUCCCCGCUGUCCUCCUCCACACCCACCCCUCCUCCUCCCUGUGGGGUCCCCUCAACACGUGCUCUGCUCCACCUGACCCUCCACAGGUGCGCCACUCAUGGGGGAAGAUGGAACGGGGCGUCGGUGCCUUCUCGCUUCUGUCACCGCAGACUUCCUAUAAAUGUGGUCAUACUCUACGCUUCCUUUGUGUAAGGCUCCUUUCACUCAGGGCAAUGUUUCUGAGGUUCACCUUUACUGUGGGCAGCGGCAGCUCGUUCCUUCCCGUUGCACGCAUCAGAGAGUGGAACUCUGUGUCAUCGGGUAGGCAUCGUUUAGUUCUCCAAGAAACUCCCAGACCUUUUCCCAAAACGGUUGUCCCAUUUCACGUUCCCACCAACAACGUCUGAGAUUUCCAGCUCCACAUCCUCAGAAAUCUUUAAUGCUGUCAGGUAUUUCAAUUUUAGCCGUUCUGAUGCGUGUGUAAUGGAUGUGUGCUAUAGUUUUAAUUUACACGUCCCUGAUGUUGAACAUAGUCAUGUUGAAUAUUUUUCAUUAUUGGCUAUUCAUACAUCUUCUUCAGUAAAGUGCCUGUUCCAAUCUUUUGCCUGUUUUAAAAUUUAGUUGCUAGUCUCAGCCUUAUUGAUUGGAGGCUUUUUAAAAAUAGGCGUUCUGCAAAAGGACUAUAUGCCUAUUUUAAAAAUAGGCAUAUUCUGGGCACUAGUCCUUUUUCAGAUAUAUGUUUUGCGAAUAUUUUCUCCCAGUGUGGCUUGCCUAUUUAUUUUUCUUAACGAAACCUGAUGAUGAGCAGGAGUUUUUUAUUUAAUAAAAUUUCAUUUAUCAAAUUUUAUCUUAUUCUCUGUGACCUAAGAAAUUUUUGUCGACCCCUCAAAUCCUGAAGACAUUCUCCUGUUUUCCUUCAGAAGCUUAUGGCUUUGUCUAGUAUGCUUAUCACUAUGAUUCGUCUUGAAUUCAUUUUGAGUUUUGUGUGGUAUGAAAUGGGCACUGAGGCUCAUUUUUUUCCGUAAGAACGUAUGGCGAUUCCAGAUCCAUUUGUGGAAAAGAUUUUCUUUUCUUCAUUGGAUUGCUUUGAUGCCUUUUUCAAAAUCAACUGACUGUGGAAAUACGGCUCCAUUUCGGGGCUUUCCCUUCUAUUCUGUUGGUCUGUCGGUCCUUUCGCCAGGACCACACUUUCUUGAUUAUGGUGGUUCUAUGGUCGGUAUUAAAGUAAGAUAAUGUAAGUUCUUUUUCUUCUUCAUUUUUUAGACUGCUUUGGAUAUUCUAAGUCUUUUGAAUUUUCAAAUAAAUUUUAGGAUCAGACUGUGAAUUUCCACUAAAAUCCUGCUUGGAUUACAAUUGAGAUUGUGUUCAAUUUAUAAAUUUGGGCAAACCCAGCCCGUGGCAGCCAGCCACCUAUUUUGUAAAUAAAGUUUUAUUGGAACACAGCCCUGCCUGUUCCUUUCUUUAUUGUCUGUGGCUGCUUUCACGCUACAAUGACAGAGUUAAGAGGUUGCAACAGAGACCAUAUGGCACACAAGCCUAAAAUAAUUGCUAUCCAGCCCUUUAAGAAGAAGUGUGCCAAUCCUAUGGAUCCGUGCGGGAGGAAGUUGGUGUCUUCGGGGUAGUGUGCCUUCCACAUCUUGAGCAUGGCAUUUUGCUCUGUUGAUUUAAAUAUCCCGUAAUUUCUCUCAACAAUGUUUUAUAGUUUUCAGUGUAGGUCUUGCAAGUCUCUUGUUACUUCUAAUUUCACGGUUUGGGGGAGACUAGUAUAAAUGGAAAUGUUUUAAGAUUUUAUUUCCAGUUGUUUGCUCUCAGUAUAUAAAAUACAGUUAAAUUUUGGACAGUAAUUUUGUAUCCUGUGGUUCUAGUAGCUGUAGAAUCCGUAGGAUUUUCUAUCUAAAUAAUCUUGUCAUCAACAAAGAGAGUCAGUUUUAAUUCUUCUCUCAGAUUUUUGUGCCUUUUUUCCCUUGCCUUAUUGCAGUGGCUAGGACCCCCAGUACAAUGUUAAAUAGAUUUGGUAUUACUUUGUUCCCAGUCUUACGGAACACUAUUAAACAGGAUAUUAACGGUAGGUUUUUUUUUUUUAAUAGAUGGGCUUUAUCAGAUUGAGGAAUUUCCUUAUUAUUCCUAGUUUACUAACAGUUUUUAUUGUGAAUGUGUUGAGUUUUGUCAAAUGCUUUUCCUGAAUUUACUGAAGUAUGGUUAUCCUUUAUGAUGCUAGUAUGGUGAAUUACAUUGAUUUUCAAAUGCCAAACCCAUUUUGCAUGACUGGGAUAAAUCCCACUUGCUCAUAAUGUAUUAUCCUUUUCAUCUGCUGCUAGAUUGAAUUUGCUCAUAUUUUCUUAUGGAGUUUUCCACCCAAGCGAAGACUAUUCGCUUGCAAUUUUUAAAAUGUGUUUUUUAAGUUUUGGAACCAGAGUUCUACGGACUCAAUGAAAUGACUUGGAAAGUGUUCCAUCCUCCUCUGUUUUUAAAAAUAAUUUGUUUAAGAUAUGUGUUAUUUCUUCCUUAAAUAUUUGGUAGAAUCUACCAGUAAAAUCAUCUGGGCCUAGAGUUUCUUUGUGGAAGAUUUUUUUUUUUUAAUGAAUUCAACUUCUUUAAUAGACACAAUUCUAUUUAUAUUUUCUAUUUUAUCAUCUUGUGUCAGCAUUUUACAAGGAAUUUGUCCCUUUCUUCUAACCUGUUGAAUUUGUAGCGCUGACAUUGUUCAGAAUAUUCUCUAAUUCUUCUUUUAAUGCUGUCAAUUUCUGUUGCAAUAGCCCUCUUUCAUUCCUAAUCUUACUAACUUGUGUAUUUCUGUUUUU